rnacentral:rRNA from 1 species
GUCCACGCCGUAAACGAUGGAUGCUAGCCGUUGGCAAGCUUGCUUGUCGGUGGCGCAGCUAACGCAUUAAGCAUCCCGCCUGGGGAGUACGGCCGCAAGGUUAAAACUCAAAGGAAUUGACGGGGGCCCGCACAAGCGGUGGAGCAUGUGGUUCAAUUCGACGCAACGCGAAGAACCUUACCAAGCCUUGACAUGCCCGGACGGUUUCCGGAAACGGAUUCCUCCCAGCAAUGGGUCGGGACACAGGUGCUGCAUGGCUGUCGU